GCGGCUUAGGGUCGGGGGUGGGCUCUGCCAAGGCAGUGCUGGUGACCCGGAGGGGCUACUCCAGGGCGGGGGGCAAGGCACAAAUCUCGGGGUGGGUGGUGGGGGAGGUGGCGAGAUCGGUAGAGCA